UACGUAGGGUGCGAGCGUUGUUCGGAUUCACUGGGCGUAAAGGGUGCGUAGGUGGUGAGGUAAGUCGGAUGUGAAAUCUCCGAGCUCAACUCGGAAAUGGCAUUGGAAACUACCUUGCUAGAGGGUUGGAGGGGGGACUGGAAUACUUGGUGUAGCAGUGAAAUGCGUAGAUAUCAAGUGGAACACCAGUGGCGAAGGCGAGUCCCUGGACAACUCCUGACACUGAGGCACGAAAGCUAGGGGAGCAAACAGG
rnacentral:rRNA from 1 species